ACUAAACAAAGCUGUAAGUCGCUUUGGCUAAAAGCGUCUGCUAAAUGCAAUGUA
rfam:Larimichthys crocea isolate SSNF unplaced genomic scaffold scaffold280, whole genome shotgun sequence.